rnacentral:misc_RNA from 1 species
UUUCCGUAGGUGAACCUGCGGAAGGAUCAUUAUUGUAUAACAGAGGUGCGAGGGCUGUCGCUGACCCGAAAGGUCGUGCACGCCCGAGUGCCCUCACACACAUCCAUCUCACCCCUAUGUGCACCACCGCGUGGGUCCCCCUUUGGCGUGUUCGGAGGGGGGCUUACGUUUUCACACAAACUUUGUAUGCAGUGUAGAAUGUAUUUUUUGUUUUUGCGAUCACGCAAUCAAUACAACUUUCAACAACGGAUCUCUUGGCUCUC